CUGUGUGGGGGGUGGGUGGGUGCGUGUGUGUGUGUGUGUGCGCGCGCGCGCGCGCAUGCACAACCCAGCACAUGUGGGAAUAGCGUGCUGAAAGCGAGCCCCGGGCAGGUUUGGCGCGGCUGACCUGCCUGUGGUCUCCUCCUGUGCGUCUCCCAGGCCCCCGACAAGCUCUGUGUCUGUGCCUCUCUGUGGCGUGUGUACAACAGCUUGUUGGUAUGGAGUGAUGUGCUGAGGAGAUGGGAAGUGGAGGUGCUAUGGACUUUGGCUUUGAGGAAAGAAAGAUGCAGUGGCAGAGGAAGAAGUGAGGAAGGGAAAACAGAGCUACCAACAAAGAGAGGAGACCAGGCAGGACACACAGUUCUACUCUGACAACUACGAGGACUAGAAACCUGCAUAAAACAAAGUUUAUCAGGAAUAAACAAUUCUGCACGAGACAUUGGAUUUCACAACGUAGCAUGUACUGUUGACAGAGAAGAUCAGUCACAGGGCAGGGCUAUUCAUAUCUUCCAGUAAUGGGUGUGGAUCAGCAGCUGGACAGAGUGCUAUGGGGCACCCCUACUGAACCCCACAAGCCCCACUCCUGGGCCCCCGCUCCAUGCACUUCCCAACAUGUUCUCUAUUGCACAGCACCCUCUAGCAGCCCCUGAAGGCAGUGCUGAGGAGGAGGAGGAGGAGCACUCCCAGCUGUUCGCCUGCUAACCUCCUUGACGGACCAUCAGCAGAGGGAGUUGGAGUGUGAACCCAAUCAAAGCUACAACAUUAAUUACACUGUGCGGAGAUGAAGUGAAAAGCUGCUUGCCUUAAUUAGUGCUUCGUUAUGGAGUCACCCAACCUGCCGCUUAGCCGGCGGGAACAAGACACAACCUCCUUUUGCCUGGCUCGCUUCCAGUUGGGGGGCAAACAUCAGAACAGCUUAAGUGGGGCAGAGGGGGGCGGGAGGCCUCAGAGUCCAGUGUCCAUUAAGCUGCGAUUGUCAUGAUUCUGGUCAGGCAAGCGCCUCCCACACCACGUAAAGCAGGACCGGCCCAGACCCACCAGCCCAGCUGAGCAAACAAGGCUCUGGCCUGCUUCCUGCCUCUCCCUCCGGGACCCCCUGCCUGAGGCUUAAUCAGCGCUCCUGGUAAAGGGCGGGGGGGGGGGCGCCUUUGCCGAAGCAGUUGAUUUGAGCCACCGCUUAAUAUAUAUAAAUAAAAAUCCAAAGAGCCAGCCAGCUGCUUUGGUGGCUCAGAAAGCAGUAAUGGGGCCUGGCCUAGUUUGCAGCUGCCCGCUGCUAUUUCCAUCUCCCCUUCAAACGGACAGCGUGAAGUCGGGGAAAUUUCGGCAAAGGGAGAGAGAAGGGAUUCUUCAAACUCUUCCUGCUCCGACGGCACCCAACCCUCUCCCAAUGCCUUCGAGCACAGGAGUAAGCAAACUUUAACACACACACCCCAGCCUCCAUUUACACCCCCACACACCUAUCGGCAGCCUUCCCUUCAGCAAGCAAGCACACAAGACUGGACACUACCACUGGAGGAAGGCUGGGACGGGGCACCUCAGACUCCAUUCCUAAAGCCAGAAGCGAGGCUCGGGGUGGAGACGCUGCGGUGGCAGGAAUCUCCUGCAAUGCCCCCCCCCCCCGCAGCUCCCACAGUGAGUUUUGGGGACUGCAAUGCAAAGUCUGUGCUGUGGGGAGGAAAGCAUCGCCAGCUCUUCUUGCGGCAGGGUCCUUUCCCUCCCUGGAGCUCUGUGCCCUCAUCUAGGUGACAUGCACCCUCUCCUCCAGGGCGGGGGGGCGCUUGCCCUACACUCUGAGAACUGGACUCUCAAUGGCAUAGCAAUCUGUGAGGUUUCAGGUUGCUGUGUUGAGGAUUUUUAAGGGCAGGGUUGUAAACACUUCCCCAUUUGACAGUGUCCUGGGCAAAUGACUCAUCCUGGAGGACUCUGGGGCCUAGCUAGUUUGAAAAUCCAGUGCUCUAAGCGUUGUGUGGAAAUGCAGCAGCAGUGGCUUGGCUCUGGUUGGGCCAGUUAGGGUGCAAACCAGAUAGUCCCAGGGUGCCUCUGCUGCUAGCUCAACUUAAACAGUGACGAUUGGACUAUCAAGUAGCAAAGACUAAGAUGGAUGGCUCUCAAAGUGGAGAAAGUGGAGCUCCAGGUGGAGACCUAGUGAAAAAGUACUUUUUCACACAACGUGUGAUCCACUUGUGGAACUCUCUGCCACAGGAUGUGGUGACAGCCAACAGCCUGGAUGGCUUUAAAAGGGGUAUGGAUGACUUCGUGGAGGAGAGGUCUAUCAAUGGCUACCAGUCGGAGGGCUGUGGGCCACCUCCAGCCUCAAAGGCAGGAUGCCUCUGAGUACCAGUUGCAAGGGAGUAAUGGAAGGAGAGAGGGCACGCCCUCAACUCCUGCCUGUGGCUUCCAACGGCAUCUGGUGGGCCACUGUGAAAAACAGGAUGCUGGACUAGAUGGGCCUUGGGCCUGAUCCAGCAGGGAUGUUCUUAUGACUGCAUAUCCUGAGGAGAUAUAUUGAAAAACAAGGGUAUUCUGGAGUGUGUGGUGGAGAGGGAAGGAUUUAUUCAAGGGCUGUCAUCACUGACUGGAGACUCCAGCCAAAAAAAAAUCUUGAUUCCUAGAAAUUCCAUACAUAAUCAUUUUGUUUGUAAGCUUUUAGCAAAUAAACACACAGACGGUUUGGAUGUCGUCCACCACCA